GCGCCGGGCGCAUGGCCUCGGAGAGCUCCUCCUCCAUGCCGCCGGCGAACUCCCAAUCGUCGACCAUCGACGGCCCCCUCUUCUCCGCCACAGCGCCGUUGUCGCCGGGUGCGGCGGAGGACGACUUCACCCCCUCGGCGGCGGCGGCGGUGGCCUGCCCCGCCACAGACACCGCCACCGCCGGCGCCCUAGAGGACCUGAACGCCGCCGCCGCCUGAUCGACCCAGGGGGCGUGGGCGGCGCUGGACGCCGCCUUCGCCGCCUUCGCCGCCGUCCUCAUGACUCCUCCGCCCAUCGGCGAAUCUCCCGCAGACGUCCCCCGCCCCUCCCCCACCCAAAGCGAGUAAAAAGAUCAGCUUUUUCUGAGCAGCUUGCUU
rnacentral:lncRNA from 1 species